rnacentral:rRNA from 1 species
GAAUAUUGGACAAUGGGGGGAACCCUGAUCCAGCCAAGCCGCGUGUGUGAAGAAGGCCUUUUGGUUGUUAUGCCAUUUAAGCGGGGAGGAGGCGCUCUUGGUUCAUACCCAAGUUUCCUGGACGUUACUCGCAGAAUAAGCACCGGCUACCUCUGUGCCCUCAGCCGCGGUAAUACAGAGGGUGCAAGCGUUAAUCGGAUUUACUGGGCGUAAAGCGCGCGUAGGUGGCCCAUUAAGUCAAAUGUGAAAUCCCCGAGCUUAACUUGGGAAUUGCAUUCGAUACUGGUUGGCUAGAGUAUGGUAGAGGAUGGUAGAAUUCCAGGUGUAGCGGUGAAAUGCGUAGAUAUCUGGAGGAAUACCGAUGGCGAAGGCUGCCAUCUGGCCUAAUACUGACACUGAGGUGCGAAAGCAUGGGGAGCAAACA